GAUGAACGCUAGCGGGAGGCCUAACACAUGCAAGCCGAGCGGUAGAGAUUCUUCGGAAUCUUGAGAGCGGCGUACGGGUGCGGAACACGUGUGCAACCUGCCUUUAUCAGGGGGAUAGCCUUUCGAAAGGAAGAUUAAUACCCCAUACUAUAUUUGAUGGCAUCAUUAGAUAUUGAAAGCUUUGGCGGAUAGAGAUGGGCACGCGCAAGAUUAGAUAGUUGGUGAGGUAACGGCUCACCAAGACGAUGAUCUAUAGGGGGCCUGAGAGGGUGAUCCCCCACACUGGUACUGAGACACGGACCAGACUCCUACGGGAGGCAGCAGUGAGGAAUAUUGGACAAUGGGUUAGCGCCUGAUCCAGCCAUCCCGCGUGAAGGACGACGGCCCUAUGGGUUGUAAACUUCUUUUGUACAGGGAUAAACCUACUCUCGUGAGAGUAGCUGAAGGUACUGUACGAAUAAGCACCGGCUAACUCCGUG
rnacentral:rRNA from 1 species